AUGGCUGACUUCUCGUCCAGCAACGGCGUCCCGCCGGGGUUCCGGUUCCACCCUACCGACGAGGAGCUGCUGCUCUACUACCUCAAGAAGAAGAUCGGCUUCGAGAAGUUCGACCUCGAGGUCAUCAGGGAGGUCGACCUCAACAAGAUCGAGCCAUGGGACCUCCAAGAGAGAUGCCGGAUCGGGUCUGCGCCGCAGAACGAAUGGUACUUCUUCAGCCACAAGGACCGCAAGUACCCGACGGGGUCGCGGACGAACCGCGCGACGACGGCCGGGUUCUGGAAGGCGACGGGGAGGGACAAGUGCAUCCGCACCAGCUACCGCAAGAUCGGGAUGCGCAAGACGCUCGUCUUCUACCGCGGUCGCGCCCCCCACGGCCAGAAGUCCGACUGGAUCAUGCACGAGUACCGCCUCGAGGAAAUCGACGAAGCCCAGGGCGGCACCAGCGAGGAUGGAUGGGUGGUGUGCCGCGUGUUCAAGAAGAAGUGUUUCUUCAAGAUCGCCGGAGGCGGCGAAGGGAGCUCAAGCCAGAGCGCGGACGCCGGCGCCGGCCACAUGGCCGUGUCGUCACCACUGGGUGGCCACGACCACGCUGACAGGGCCGCCAUGGCAUCUCACUACAUGCACGGGAUGCACCCGCAGUACCACCCCCAGCACGCCUCUUCCUUCUACUACUCCCAGAUGCAACCACCGGAGGCGGCCUACUCGCACCACGUGCAGGUCCAGGACCUCCUCACCAACCACCGGCCGGCGGCCGACGCAGCUGGCGGCGGGUAUGAUUUCUCCGGCCUGCCGGUCGAGCACCCUGGCCUGGACGUCGGCAGCAGCGACGGCGUCGCGGCGGAUGGGCUGGCCGAAGGAAGAGAUCAAACAAACGGUGCAGCCGAUCAGCAGUGGCAGCCGAUGGACGGGUUCAGCAACGGCGGGGGCGCCGCUGCAGUACAGCAGAUGAGCGCCAUGAACUCCGGGCAACGAGGUGGGGAGAUGGAUUUGUGGGGUUAUGGGAGGUAA
rnacentral:rRNA from 1 species